UACGUAGGGUGCAAGCGUUGUCCGGAAUUAUUGGGCGUAAAGGGCUCGUAGGCGGUUUGUCGCGUCGGGAGUGAAAACACACAGCUUAACUGUGUGCUUGCUUCCGAUACGGGCAGACUAGAGGUAUGCAGGGGAGAACGGAAUUCCUGGUGUAGCGGUGAAAUGCGCAGAUAUCAGGAGGAACACCGGUGGCGAAGGCGGUUCUCUGGGCAUUACCUGACGCUGAGGAGCGAAAGUGUGGGGAGCGAACAGG
rnacentral:rRNA from 1 species